rnacentral:lncRNA from 1 species
AAGUAUAGCCCACUGAAAGGUCAAGGAGCAAAAGAUCAAUCCAGUCAACAGCAUAGUCUCGAUUUUCUUUAUCAUAGGAAAAAUUAGGCUCACAAUCCUAAGUAUAGCCCACUCCUCUCUUAAAAGGCUAUGCUCGGUUAAAAACUAGCAGCUCUAGCACAUUUGUACCCUCACUAGGCUUAGACCAGGAGAACAACUCAUGAAGCCCCUCAAUGGUAUCAGAGCUAUUAAUGUGUUGAAGGU